rnacentral:lncRNA from 1 species
GGACAGACUUUGACUUCUGGCCCAGAGUGAAGAUGUGAGUACAGCUUUAGAAAAGGGUCAGGGUCAGCGAUGAAAAGGAGGUGGCAAAGGGCUGGGACUCACAGGUGAGAGUGCUGGUGUCCCGGGAAAGAGAAAACAAGCCCAUCGCCUUAAAAAUGCAAGUGAACAAGAGUUGGCUGAGUUGAUGAGUUGUUCUAGAAACAAGGUUGAGGGCUAGCUGGAAAAAGAGGCUUCUUUCUGAGCACCAAAGCCUUCAGACAUUUUUCCUCAUUGCAUGGGCAAAUGACCGUAUUUUACCCUCUCCUGCCAUUUUCAGCAGUGUGUAUUGAACAUAAUCUAAAACUUUCCCCAGGACUGAUGGUUAGUCUCCUGAUCACCAACUGCAGUUGACUUCAGUGCCUUUGCCCUAUGAUAUAUUGGAAAUUCCUAAAGCCUGUUGUGCCAUUUGUCCCUGAACUCAACGGCCUCAGGAUGCUCUCCUUUCACAGUAUUUAUUUUUCCUUUCAACAAAUUUAUUUUUGCCACUGGAUUUUGUAUAGGCUUUUAUAGGAUAUUAAAAAGAGAUUAUGUUUCCUAGUAAGCUCUUGGCUGGGAGAGGGAGGAGUGCGGGGAUGGC